rnacentral:rRNA from 1 species
UAGGGAAUCUUCGGCAAUGGACGAAAGUCUGACGGAGCAACGCCGCGUGAGUGAAGAAGGUUUUCGGAUCGUAAAACUCUGUUGUUAGAGAAGAACAAGGACGUUAGUAACUGAACGUCCCCUGACGGUAUCUAACCAGAAAGCCACGGCUAACUACGUGCCAGCAGCCGCGGUAAUACGUAGGUGGCAAGCGUUGUCCGGAUUUAUUGGGCGUAAAGCGAGCGCAGGCGGUUUCUUAAGUCUGAUGUGAAAGUCCCCGGCUCAACCGGGGAGGGUCAUUAGAAACUGGGAGACUUGAGAGCAGAAGAGGGGAGUAGAAUUCCAAGUGUAGCGAUGAGAUGCGUAGAUAUAUGGAGGAACACCAGUGGCGAAGGCGGCUCUCUGGUCUGUAACUGGCGCUGAGGAUCGGAAGCGUGGGGAGCAAACAGG